rnacentral:rRNA from 1 species
AUGGCGCCGCUCGCCGGAGCCGCCGUGGCCGCCUGCAUGAUCCUGCUCUUCCUGCUCGUCCCCUGCGCUCAGGGACAGGGGCAACCACCCGAGGCGCCGGAGGAGGCUUGGGCCGAGGGGCAACCACCGGAGGCGUCGGAGGACGCUUUGACGAUGCUCUUGUCCGAGGGCGGGUGCGGCGCCUUCGCCGGCCUCGUCGCCGCUACGGCCGGCGUGGGCGACACGUUCCGCGAGCAGAUUGGCAGCGACCUGGGGCUCACGAUCCUCUGCCCCGACGACGAGGCGGUGGGGACGUUCAUCCCGAGGUUCCAUAGCCUCAACGUCGACGAGCAGGUCGCGGUUCUCCUGUACCACGGCCUGACGAUGGCUUACUCCGAGGAGCUGCUCAGCUGGGUCCACUGGGAGGUGUCAACGCUUGAUGGGGAGCAGAUGCUCACCAUCCCUCACCACAGAGGCAGGGUGAUACUUUCUCCGUGGCCGCCGUCGUCACGGAACAAGGCCAGGAUCACCAAGACUGUCGUCGACAACGACCAUCUCGCCGUCUACCUCAUCGACGCCGUGCUGAUUCCGACAGAGCCGAAGAAGCUUGACUUCUUCUGGGACUUCUUGGGACCUUUACUGCUUGUUAUCGCUGGCGUCCUGGCGCUAUUCUUGCUGUGGCAUGCGCUUGUUUAUGUUUGGUCUCUUGUGUGCCGGCUGAGAAGAUGGUGCAAGGAUCGCGCUACUGCCUACGUUUCCCCCGCCCGUGUCACUCCACAUGGACAACAAGAACAUUAG